rnacentral:rRNA from 1 species
CCUACGGGCGGCAGCAGUGGGGAAUAUUGGGCAAUGGGCGCAAGCCUGACCCAGCAACGCCGCGUGAGGGAAGAAGGCUUUCGGGUUGUAAACUUCUUUUCUCAGGGACGAAGGAAGUGACGGUACCUGAGGAAUAAGCCACGGCUAACUACGUGCCAGCAGACGCGGUAAUACGUAGGUGGCAAGCGUUAUCCGGAUUUAUUGGGUGUAAAGGGCGUGUAGGAGGGGGCGCAAGUCAGAUGUGAAAGCUCAGGGCUCAACCCGGGGACUGCAUUUGAAACUGUGUUUCUUGAGUGCUGGAGAGGCAAUCGGAAGUCCGUGUGUAGCGGUGAAAUGCGUAGAUAUACGGAGGAACACCAGUGGCGAAGGCGGAUUGCUGGACAGCAACUGACGCUGAGGCGCGAAAGCGUGGGGAGCAAACAGGAUUAGAUACCCCAGUAGUC